UACAGAGGUCUCAAGCGUUGUUCGGAUUCAUUGGGCGUAAAGGGUGCGUAGGCGGCGCGGUAAGUCGGAUGUGAAAUCUCGGAGCUUAACUCCGAAACUGCAUUCGAUACUGCCGUGCUUGAGGACUGGAGAGGAGACUGGAAUUUACGGUGUAGCGGUGAAAUGCGUAGAUAUCGUAAGGAAGACCAGUGGCGAAGGCGGGUCUCUGGACAGUUCCUGACGCUGAGGCACGAAGGCCAGGGGAGCAAACGGG
rnacentral:rRNA from 1 species